AGCCUGUCGACCCAAACCCCCUGCAGGGACGUGGGCGCUGGAUCCUUCAGGGACUGGGAUCCGAAAAAGAACCUGUGGAGGUACAUCAGAUCACUCAGGUCAAACAAGCCAGACCAGACAGGAGUGCGAAGGAGUCAUUGCACCAGUUACAACCAGGAGACUGGGUGGUCAUACGAGACCUAAAAAGGAAACACUGGAAGCAGAAACGCUGGACGGGCCCGCACUUGAUACUAUUGGUCACCCACACCGCGGUGAAGGUCGAGGGUCGAGGAACGUGGGUGCACGCAAGCCACUGCAGAAAGCUGCCCUCUUGCGGCAGCGACCAGCCCUCUCCUUCGACACCAGGCGCCACUGGGGUCCAGACGACGAAGGAAACUUAAGGACGAGAUGACUGGACACAGGAUGGCCAG